AGAGUUUGAUUCUGGCUCAGAGUGAACGCUGGCGGCGUGGAUUAGGCAUGCAAGUCGAGCGAUACUGUAUUAUGAGUAAAGUUGACCGCAAGGAAGACUUUACAAAUGAUUCGGAAUAGCGGCAAACGGGUGAGUAACACGUGAGUAAUCUACCCUAAGGACUGGAAUAGCCCAGAGAAAUCUGGGGUAAUGACAGAUAUGACUACGACCUUGAUGAGGAUGUAGUAAAAGGCGGGGACCGUAAGGCCUGCCACCUAAGGAGGAGCUCGCGGCCUAUCAGCUUGUUGGUGAGGUAACGGCUCACCAAGGCGAAGACGGGUAGCUAGUCUGAGAGGAUGUUUAGCCACACUGGGACUGAGAUACUGCCCAGACUCCUACGGGAGGCUGCAGUCGAGAAUCUUUAGCAAUGGGGGAAACCCUGACUAUGCGACGCCGCGUGAGGGAUGAAGGUCUUCGGAUUGUAAACCUCUUUCGACCGGAAAGAACAUCUUUGGUUCUAACAGGAUCAAGGACUGACGGUACCGGGAGAAGAAGCCACGGCCAACUCCGUGCCAGCAGCCGCGGUAAUACGGAGGUGGCGAGCGUUACUCGGAUUUAUUGGGUGUAAAGGGCAGGUAGGUGGCUCAACAAGUGGGAAGUGAAAUCCUCCGGCUUAAUCGGAGAACAGCUUUCCAAACUAUUGAGCUUGAGUGUGGGAGAGGAGAAUGGAACUCCUGGUGUAAGGGUGAAAUCUGUAGAGAUCAGGAGGAACACCAUUGGCGAAGGCGAUUCUCUGGACCACAACUGACACUGAACUGCGAAAGCUAGGGGAGAGAACAGGAUUAGAUACCCUGGUAUUCCUAGCCGUAAACGAUGAGUACUGGGUGUUUCCUGUAACAGGGAGGCGCCGACGUUAACACAUUAAGUACUCCACCUGGGGACUACGGCCGCAAGGUUGAAACUCAAAGAAAUUGACGGGGGCCCGCACAAGCGGUGGAACAUGUGGUUCAAUUCGACGCUACGCGAAGAACCUCACCAGGGCUUGACAUAUAGGUAGUAGGAACCUGAAAGGGAGACGACUCGUCAAGCCGAGUGCCUAUACAGGUGUUGCAUGGCUGUCGUCAGCUCGUGCCGUGAGGUGUUGGGUUAAGUCCCGCAACGAGCGCAACCCACGUCCUUAGUUGCGACCACGUAAUGGUGAGCACUCUAAGGAGACCGCCGGUGUUAAACCGGAGGAAGGUGUGGAUGACGU
rnacentral:rRNA from 1 species